UACGUAGGGGGCAAGCGUUGUCCGGAUUUAUUGGGCGUAAAGAGCGUGUAGGCGGUCAGGUAGGUCAGCUGUGAAAACUCGAGGCUCAACCUCGAGACGCCGGUUGAAACCAUCUGACUAGAGUCCGGAAGAGGAGAGUGGAAUUCCUGGUGUAGCGGUGAAAUGCGCAGAUAUCAGGAAGAACACCCGUGGCUAAGGCGGCUCUCUAGGACGGUACUGACGCUGAGACGCGAAAGCGUGGGGAGCGAACAGG
rnacentral:rRNA from 1 species